GACGAACGCUGGCGGCGUGCUUAACACAUGCAAGUCGAACGGAAAGGCCCUGGUUGCAGGGUACUCGAGUGGCGAACGGGGGAGUAACACGUGGGUGAUCUGCCCUGCAAUUCGGGAUAAGACUGGGAAACUGGGUCUAAUACCGGAUAGGAGCCAUUUUUAGUGUGAUGGUUGGAAAGUUUUUUCGGUGUAGGAUGAGCUCGCGGCCUAUCAGCUUGUUGGUGGGGUAAUGGCCUACCAAGGCGGCGACGGGUAGCCGGGCUGAGAGGGUGGACGGCCACAUUGAAACUGAGAGACUGCCCAUACGCCUCCAUGAGACAGCAGGUGAGAAGAUUUCACAAUGGGCGCAAGCCUGAUGCAGCGACCCCGCUUGGGGGAUGACGGACUUCGGGUUGGAAACUCCUUUCGCUAGGGACGAACCUUUUUGUAACGGUACCUAGAUAAGAAGCACCGGCUAACUACGUG
rnacentral:rRNA from 1 species